rnacentral:rRNA from 1 species
UACGAAGGGGGCUAGCGUUGCUCGGAAUCACUGGGCGUAAAGCGCACGUAGGCGGAUCUUUAAGUCAGAGGUGAAAUCCCAAGGCUCAACCUUGGAACUGCCUUUGAUACUGGGGAUCUCGAGUCCGGAAGAGGUGAGUGGAACUGCGAGUGUAGAGGUGAAAUUCGUAGAUAUUCGCAAGAACACCAGUGGCGAAGGCGGCUCACUGGCCGUACUGGACGCUGAGGUGCG